GACGUAGGGCGCGAGCGUUAAUCGGAAUUACUGGGCGUAAAGCGUGUGUAGGCGGAUCGUUAAGUGUCUUGUGAAAUCCCACGGCUCACCCGUGGAACUGCUGGGCAUACUGGCGAUCUUGGGCCAACUAGGGGCAGCCGGAACAAGCGGUGGAGCGGUGAAAUGCGUAGAUAUCGCUUGGAACGCCGAAGGUGAAAACAGGCUGCUGGGGUUGUGCCGACGCUGAGACACGAAAGCCAGGGGAGCAAACGGG
rnacentral:rRNA from 1 species